AUUGAACGCUGGCGGCAUGCCUUACACAUGCAGGUCGAACGGCAGCACGGGAGCAAUCCUGGUGGCGAGUGGCGAACGGGUGAGUAAUAUAUCGGAACGUGCCCAGUAGUGGGGGAUAGCCCGGCGAAAGCCGGAUUAAUACCGCAUGAGACCUGAGGGUGAAAGCGGGGGAUCGCAAGACCUCGCGCUAUUGGAGCGGCCGAUAUCAGAUUAGCUAGUUGGUGGGGUAAAGGCCUACCAAGGCAACGAUCUGUAGUUGGUCUGAGAGGACGACCAGCCACACUGGGACGGAGACACGGCCCAGACUCCUACGGGAGGCAGCAGUGGGGAAUUUUGGACAAUGGGCGCAAGCCUGAUCCAGCAAUGCCGCGUGCAGGAAGAAGGCCUUCGGGUUGUAAACUGCUUUUGUCAGGGAAGAAAUCCCUUGGGAUAAUACCUCGGGGGGAUGACGGUACCUGAAGAAUAAGCAUCGGCUAACUACGUGCCAGCCGCCGCCGUAACAC
rnacentral:rRNA from 1 species